rnacentral:rRNA from 1 species
UACAGAGGUCUCAAGCGUUGUUCGGAUUCAUUGGGCGUAAAGGGUGCGUAGGCGGCGCGGUAAGUCGGGUGUGAAAUCUCGGAGCUUAACUCCGAAACUGCAUUCGAUACUACCGUGCUUGAGGACUGGAGAGGAGACUGGAAUUUACGGUGUAGCGGUGAAAUGCGUAGAUAUCGUAAGGAAGACCAGUGGCGAAAGCGACUUCCUGGACCAAUACUGACGCUCAUGUGCGAAAGCGUGGGGAGCGAACAGG